GGUGUCGUCCGCAGCGCGCUCAGCGAUUUGGCGCUUGACGAGCUCAAAUCCACUGCAAGCAUUGUAGCAGCUGCAUUAACGUUGAAUUGUUUUAAACUGUGUUGCUUUGGGGUGCCAUAAAUGUUUUAUCAUACGAUCUUGAUGGACAAACAUGUCUGAAGACGAAAGCAAGGCUGUUGGUGAACUUUUUAAAGAUGUUAAAUUCUACGUGGUUGGGGACAUUGACCCGAAGGUGGUGCAGCUGUUGAAAGACGGAAAAGGCAAAGAAGUCUCCUACAAUGCUUUGGCCACUCAUAUUAUUGCAGAAGACGGGGAUAACCCAGAGGUGGGGGAAUCUCGUGAGGUGUUUGAUCUGCCUGUGGUCAAGCCAUCCUGGGUGAUUCUCUCGGUUCGUUGUGGAGACCUGUUACCAGUCACAGGGUUCUCUCCGGAAUCAGGACAGAUAUUCUUUGGAGUGACAGCCUGUCUUCCUCGUCUUCCAGAUGACCUCAAUAUAUUGUGGGCAUAUAUAACCUUUUUUGGUGGAGAUUGUCAGCUUAAUCUUAACAAAAAAGUUACACACUUGGUGGUGAAUGAGCCAAAGGGGGGUAAGUUUGAGUGUGCCCUGAAACACCCUGGUAUCAAGAUCAUCACUCCAGAUUGGAUAACAGAUUCUGUAAAAGCUAAGAGGCGGAAUAAUGAAGCACUCUAUCAUCCGCGACUUACUUAUGUGGAGCCAGAGGAAGUGGAUGAGAGUGAGCAAGAGUCAUAUGACCAGCAUUCCCACUCAGAUGGAAGCUACAGCCCUCAAUGCUCCCGGAUAUCCAGUGGUGGCUCAUCAGAGGAGUCAAGUCCUCGCAGACGACCUGGUCCCAAAAAACUGAACUCCUUCUCCCCGUCGUCUCCACGGAAAACCGAAAGUCGCAGUGAGCGCAUGUUUGAUGACUCUGACGAUGACUCGUCCGCAGAGAAGGAAGGUACCAACCUCAACUGGACUCCAGCAGAAGUCGUGACACCAACCCCUCCAUUUGCACCAGGCACUGUCAGGCGGCGAAGUGGUCCAUCUGGAAACAAGAAUUCCAUAUCCUCAACAGGAGGUGGGCUCAUCAACCUGUGUGCCACUGUUCCUCCAGUUCCUGGCAUCAAUCCCAUCCCAACAGAGGUCCGCAAUGCUGCCGGCAUCAGUCAAAAUGCACAACAAGGGUUGGCAGGUAGUUCCCCAGGAAGCUGGACCAGAAGCAGUUUGCCACAACUUAGGAGUGCCUCCAAUGAUGACUGCUCAGCAGGAGGAGUAUCAGUUCCAGAUAGCAUCCCUGGUUGGAGCCCACCAAUUAGAACACUACGCAAUAUUACCAACAACUCUGACACGCAGCCGGCCAUUCGACCCACCAAUGUCGGACACAUUAUCCAGAAUCUGACACCCAAUCAUGGAAAGCCAUUAGAGCAACAAACCAAUCAGAGCCAUGCUCAGACGCCAAACAGUACCAAUUCUUUAAUGUUCAAUCAGUCGAAAAUGGCUGGGCAACAACUUGCUGUGCAGCAACAACAGCAGCAACAGCAGUUAAUGCAGCUGUCACACCAGACGGUCCAACACCACCAACAGUUACCCCAUCAAGCGCAACACCCCAUUAUGCUGCAGCAGCAGCAGCAGCAGAUGAUGCAGCUACAUCACCAUCAACAGCAACAAUCAGUUGUACAACAGCAAGGGUUUCCUCAAUUGUCCCAGCAGCAUCAGUUCCUGCAACAGCAGCAACUGCACCAACAGCCGAUGUUUUCACAGCAACAGCAACAUGCCUUCUCUCAGCAGCAGCUUCGCCCUCAGCAGCUCUUACGCCCUGGUCUACAGCAGCUGCAACAGCAGCAAGCUCUGCAACAGCAGCUACAGCAAUUCCAACAGCAGCAACGCAUGCAAAUAUUACAACAGCAACAACAACAAAAUCAGCAAUUGCAUCAACAGCAUCUGCAGCAGCAGCAACAACAACAGCACUUCCUGCAGCAGCAACAAAUCCAGCAGAUGCAGCAGCAACAGCAGCUGCAGAAUCAUCAACAGCAAGCUUUGCAGCAUCAGAACCAACAGGGCAUGCAGACACAACAUCAGCAGCAGCAACAGACUCUUCAGCCGCAGAUACAGCAGACUGCUCAUAUCUCCCUGUUUGGACAUGAGCCAGGACAAGAAAUUCCACAAGAUGGCUUUCUGCUGGGAUGUGUGUUUGCCAUUGCUGACUACCCAGAACAAAUAGCUGACAAACAAUUGCUGGCCACAUGGAAACGGGUGAUCCAGGCCUAUGGUGGUGCCGUUGACCCCUCUUUAACCACCCGCUGUACCCACUUACUUUGUGAGAGUCAGGUCAGCAACAUGUAUGUGCAGGCCCUCAGAGAGGGAAAACGUUGUGUAACAGCCCACUGGCUCAACACAGUGCUUAAAAGGAAGAGGAUGGUGCCUCCUCAUCGGACACUACAUCUGCCAUUUGCCUUUCCUCCUGGAGCCAAGCCUUGCUCUCAUCAUAUUAUAUCUGUGACCGGUUUUGUGGACGCUGACCGAGAUGACUUGAAGUUGAUGGCUUACUUGGCUGGUGCAAGAUACACCGGGUACCUGUGCCGGAGCAACAGUGUCCUUGUCUGCAAAGAACCAACAGGACUUAAGUAUGAGAAGGCCAAAGAAUGGAAAAUUCCCUGCGUAAACGCUCAAUGGAUGUGUGAUAUUCUGUUGGGAAACUUUGAAGCACUUAGACAAAUUCAGCACAGCAGAUACUCAGUUUAUACACAUCCUGAGCCUCUCGUGCCAAACCUACAGCUGGUCCAGAACCUGCUUGGUCCUUGGAGAACACCAAUCAAAAUACCUAAAGAAGCUUUAGCGAACCUGCAGCUCUUCCAGAAACAGAAGCUGGCUGACUCCACUAGCCAGCCAGCCAACAAAAAAGCGCGAUUGGAGGAGAUCCAAUCCCCCAGUAAGAAGCUUCCCCCGGAGUCCACUCCAAGAGUUAUUUUCACAGGGUUUGAGCCAACGCUAGUUCAGCAAUACACAAAGUCGCUGUAUGCUUUGGGUGGUGAAGUAGCUGAUGGCAGUCUGAAAGCGACACAUCUAGUGGCGAGUAAAGUCAAGCGGACCGUUAAAUUUCUCACUGGGAUGUCUGUGGUGAAACACAUUGUCACCCCAGAGUGGCUUGAAGAGAGUUGGAGGUGCAAAAAGUUUGUGGAUGAGCAGAGCUACAUUCUGAGGGAUGCAGAAGCUGAGGUCUUGUUUGGGUUCAGUCUGGAAGAGUCCCUCAAGAAAGCCCACAGUUCACCACUCUUCAAGGGAAGGUAUUUCUAUUUGACCCCUGGAAUGUGCCCUAGUCUCGGCACCAUGAAGUCGAUCGUGGAAAGUGCUGGUGGUAAGCUGCUAGCGAAACAGCCGUCAUACAGGAAGAUCAUGGAACAUAAACAGAACAAGAAUCUCCCAGAGAUCAUCUUGAUUUCCUGUGACAAUGAUCUACACUUGUGUCGAGAGUACUUCCUUAAAAACAUUGAUGUCCACAAUGCGGAGUUCAUUCUGACCGGAGUUCUCACCCAGAAACUUAACUAUGAUUCAUAUAAGUUUACUUGAUGAAGACAUGAAAAAGAGGAGCAAUCUGUUUCUAACGACACUGAUUUUUCUAUGUUUUUAUAGGUAGUCUUUUUGUAGAUUUUAUAUGUUCCAGAGUAAAUAAUGGAUGUUAUUUUUGUCAAAUUGUUGUUCAAAUUAUGGACUAUUUCAAAUCUUGUUUCACUGUGUGUGUACAGGCUUCUUAAUAAAUAUGAUGUAUUUUUUUUUUUGGGAAUAAAAUAUUUGUGAUGUUUAUCCCUUGUUUAUCCUGCUCCACUCCCAUUAAGAUUUAUUGAUCUUGACGUAUAACAACUUUAUGUACAAAUUGCUGAUAUUUCAACAUCACACAAAAGGCAGUUUUCAGAACAAAAGCUUGCUCUCUUCGUUCUCAUUUAAAUCUGUCUUUAAAGCUUUCUUGGAGGGAUUCUUUCAAGGUUGAGGCCCAUAAUUCCUGAAAGAUUUGGUUGAAUUAACUGUUAAUGAUGGUCGAGGGCAGUUACUGGUAAAGUUCUAAUUUCAGGCUGUCAAGCAGAUACCCUGAGGCUGUGCUUUGGCAGGGAUGCUGAAUAAAGGCCAGGCACUGAACGUCGCUUGCGGUGCUCCCCUCAAAACUACAGGAGACAGAAUUAGACAGCCUAAGGCAAGGUCAUGUGCUACAUACUGUAGACUUCUGUUUAUGCUACCAAAUCUUGUGUAUUCUACAAAUUGACAUGUCCACACCACUUUGAUGCCUCCUGCCACCUUUUCAAGUGACCUAGGGAGGUGGAAUGAGCUAAUGGACACACAAUUGUCAAGGAUGACUUAGAGGCAUUCUUGAAGCCACCGUUGUUUGUGGACUUGGAGAAGCUAUUCAGCCGUGUCCCUAAGGGAGUCCUGUGAGGGUCCUUCGGUAGUAUGGAGUACCGAACCCCCUGUUACGGGGUGUUCGGUUUCUGCAAAUCACUGUAAGUUGGACACGUUUCCGGUGAGGGUUUGACUCCGCCAUGGCUGCGCUUUGUCACUGAUUUUGUUCAUAACUUCUAUGGCUGGGAUGAGAAUCAGCACCUCCAUAUCUGAAACCAUGGUCCUCAGUCAGAAAAGGGUGGCGUGUGCUUUCCAGGUCGAGGAUGAAAUCGUGCCCCAAGUGGAGGAGUUCAAGUAUCAUGUAUCUGUGAUCUUGUUCAUGACUGAGGGAAGAAUGGAGUGGUAGAUCAACAGGCGGAUGGUUGCAGUGAUGGUCACUGUAUCGAUCCAUUUUGGUAAAGAGGGAGCUAAAUUGAAAGGGGAAGGUCUCAAUUUCAGGGAUGAGAAUUUUCCGCGAAUUCGCGGAAUUCCAAGUUUUUUCAGCUCAAAAUGUCAUUGUUGUGAAACGUGUAGAUUCGUUGAGAAAAUUUGGGCGGGGGUCAAGACUGGCCGCCAGCAGUUAUUGGCAACGCUCGUCCUGAAAUUAGUCACAGCUGUGAUAGCAGAAAACGGCAUUGCUGUUUGUUUACGGCAUUACUAUCUGUUUGCAUUAAAUUUGGUGUUUAGAAUAACAACAUUCCGAUUUCCGGCAGCAUUUGGGUGGUAUUUCAUCUGUAUUUUCACUCUGAUGUUAACAUUUCUUAGAGAAGCAUUCUGUUAAUAUAGAUAUACUGUAACUUAUAGACAUACAUACGCAUGUUAUCGAGCGGUCUGCACGUUUUCCAGUAUCGCGAAAGUGUUGGAGUGAAAAGAUGAAGAUCGUACCAGGGAAAUUAAUAAAAACCACAGGGUAACAACUGUUUCAGAUGGGCAUGGCUUGAAAAAAGUGUAACCGUGCAGAUAGGAACAAAAACGGUAUCAUGUCUAACCGAACACAUACAAAAAGUGGAUGUUCCCGGCAAAGUGCUGUGCACUCUGUGUUUUGAUAGGAGCAAAAAAUAUCCAGGGGCAUAUCCAAACCAGGAAACACAAAGGAAGCAUCUUCUGCACAAGAGGUUGAGAUCGAACCAGCAGAUGCUGAAUUUCCAUCUUUGGUCUAUUCCAAAAGUUGCCAGACUGAAGUGGCUAUUCGUGAAUCGUGACAGCGAGAAUCGUGCCGUGUUUUUCAACCUCAGGUGUUCUCAAAGUACUCUUAUUGAAAGACCAAAUAAUAAUUCUGUGCUAAUGUUAUGUAACAUUUACACAAACUAUAAGCAUACAUUUCAAUAAAAAAUGCUAUGAUUCUA